UACGGGUGGGGCAAGCGUUGUUCGGAAUUACUGGGCGUAAAGGGCUCGUAGGCGGCCAACUAAGUCAUACGUGAAAUCCCUCGGCUUAACCGGGGAACUGCGUCUGAUACUGGAUGGCUUGAGUUCGGGAGAGGGAUGCGGAAUUCCAGGUGUAGCGGUGAAAUGCGUAGAUAUCUGGAGGAACACCGGUGGCGAAGGCGGCAUCCUGGACCAAUAUUGACGCUGAGGAGCGAAAGCCAGGGGAGCAAACGGG
rnacentral:rRNA from 1 species